rnacentral:piRNA from 1 species
UAACCUAUUUGAAGAAGCUGAUCCUUUUC